rnacentral:tRNA from 14 species
GACGGGGUAGCUCAGUCGGUAGAGCAAGCGGCUCAUAAUCGCUGUGUCGCGGGUUCAAGUCCCGCCCUCGUCACCA